GGCGGGGUAGCUCAGUUGGUCAGAGCACAGGAUUCAUAACCCUGUUGUCGCCGGUUCGAUCCCGGUCCCCGCUA
rnacentral:tRNA from 1 species